rnacentral:rRNA from 1 species
UACGGAGGGUGCAAGCGUUGUCCGGAAUCACUGGGCGUAAAGCGCACGUAGGCGGAUUGUUAAGUCAGGGGUGAAAUCCUGGAGCUCAACUCCAGAACUGCCUUUGAUACUGGCGAUCUUGAGUCCGGGAGAGGUGAGUGGAACUGCGAGUGUAGAGGUGAAAUUCGUAGAUAUUCGCAAGAACACCAGUGGCGAAGGCGGCUCACUGGCCCGGUACUGACGCUGAGGUGCGAAAGCGUGGGGAGCAAACAGG